rnacentral:lncRNA from 1 species
AUUCGUUUACUACUUGGUCGCUAAAUGUACCCACGGGACUAUAAGAUUAUUAUCCACACGGGGGCAACGAAAAAAGAAUAGAGACUCUGGAUCUUGUGGAAACUGUGCGAGGUGACCUGGGGCACUGGGCUCCACCCAUUGCCCCAGGCUCCACCCACCGCCCCAGGCUCCACCCACUGCCCCAAGCCCCGCCCCAUCGAUAGGCUCAGUUGCUUCUACUUUGGUCUGGCCCAGAGGGCGAGAGCAAGGGCGCUUGGGAGAAAGCUCGCCCGGCGGCGAUUGACUACUCAGGCCUCAGGAAGAUGGCGUCCUCAGAGCAGGCAGAACAGCCGAACCAGCCAAGCUCUAUUCCAGGAAGUGAAAAUGUGCCCAGAGAGCCCCUGGUAAGUACCUAAGUUACAUAGUAUUGUUUUCAAAUAAUUUAAAUGCCAUGUGAGUUUAAAGAAGCAUUAGGAUUCUACAGUUUUAUAUCAGCAACAUCUCCUCAAAAGUAGAUGUGUGGAAACUUCCUGGGAGUGACCUUUGACUUCUGUUCUUAGCUUGCAGGGAUUAGCAAGAUCUUUCCUUAGUAAAGGAACUAAAAGAAGAAGGCCAUGUGCCACUUUGCUUGUUGCUGAUGGUAGUAAUUAGGGAUAUUCUGAAGCCUUGGGGGGUGUAGUUGCAGGGAGGUUGCUGGACCCAACUAGGUUGCUUCUUGAUUGUCUGAAGUAGCUGCUCUCUGCUCCUCAGGGUAAGAGCACCUCAGGUGACCUUUAAGAAACAGGUAAGGGAGGGAAUUCUGGUUUUGUCUGAUGAGUAAUUUGGUUUGUGAUAGGCAUUACUGAUAGUAUCUUCUUAGACUGUUGAAAGGGAAGAGGCCUACUGAGUACAAAAGGUGUUUUCUUUACAAAGUGCAUUGCUUUGGUGGUCCAAAACAGAAUCUGCCUGCCUGCCUGCCCUGUUUUCAUUCUGUUUGGCAUUGCAGGGCCUAUUGCAAAUCUCAUGGACAGGGUAGUAAGACUAGUUCUGUACAAACCAGAUCAGUUUUAGGGGAGAGCCAGUGAGCGUGCAGUUUAACUUUCUAGAACCUUUUCUCUGUGAGUGUUGCUAGCGAGUGCAAGGGUGCACCACCCAGGCUUUAUUUCACCUGUUUGCUCUUAUUCUGGCAGAGCGGGAGGAGGUGACAUGAGGUCUUUAGUUGCUGUGAACAGGUUUGAAUUAUAGUGUAUUCUAAUACUUCUAUAGGCAUAGGGUGAGAUGGAUCUGGUUGAGCUACAGAUAGAUUGAGAGGAUACAAGUACCAUGGAACUAUUUCAGGGGAAUAGUGUCAUUCGUGUUACCUGUUUUCACCAAUUAUAGCCUAUGUCCCAGCACUCCCUCAGGUCUCAUUUUGCGCUUUUGCUAUUGC